rnacentral:lncRNA from 1 species
UUUUUCAUGAAAUACCAUUUUUAUUGGAAAGAUUACAUGAAAAACUAUGUUGUUCAAGCUUAGACGUUGCACAGAUAUUUUCUUAAAAAGGAAUGGAAUCUGUCACUCUAAGUAAAACUGACAGUACUUGUUGCCAGUGAGGUACACCAAGCUUUCAAGAGAAAAUUUGAAUUUUGGAAAACGUACCUAUUACAGUGAGCUUGCCAACUUCCCAAUACCUAAAGACUUUGCACUGAGACCAGUGGUGGUAUUAACAAAUGUAAUUUUAAAAUAUAAUAAACUGUGUAAACAUCUGUCCAUGUAAGUAACAAAUGUCCUAGAGGCCUUAGGUCUGUCCCACUAAAUCUCUCACUUUAAUUUUCAGAAUGCAACAAAUGAUUCUUUUUCAAUGUAUCUACAUAACUGUUAGUUAAUCUAACUGUAACAAAAUUCUCAACCAUCUUCUAAAGGCUCCAUCUUCUUAGAAACAAACUCAUUUUGCAUUCAGAAUUCUUAUUCUUUGUCAAUGGCACUGAGUAGACCGUAACCAGUAAACCAAAUUCUUAUCAUACAUACAUUUUGUGAGCAAUUAAAAAAACCCUACAAACUAUUCUAUAAAAAUAAGCUCAAGGAUAUACUGUACAAUGCAGGGAAUAUAACCAAAUUAAAUUUAAAAAAUAAAAAAAUAGAAGGGGGAAAAAAUCCUCUCACUAGCACAGAAGACAAACCUUUUCUCAUAUUAGUGAUCAAAAGCACAUAUUAAUUUAUAUUUCAACUGACUAGUAGCCAAGUAUAACUUUCAUAGCAACUUCCCCUUUGGAAUUCUCUAGUAAAUUUAACGGAGAAGGCAAUGGCACCCCACUCCAUGUUCUUGCCUGGAGAAUCCCAGGGACGGGGAGG